UGCCUACGGGUGGCUGCAGUGGGGAAUAUUGGACAAUGGGCGAAAGCCUGAUCCAGCCAUGCCGCGUGAGUGACGAAGGUCUUCGGAUUGUAAAGCUCUUUUGGCGGGGACGAUAAUGACGGUACCCGCAGAAUAAGCCCCGGCUAACUUCGUGCCAGCAGCCGCGGUAAUACGAAGGGGGCUAGCGUUGUUCGGAAUUACUGGGCGUAAAGCGCACGUAGGCGGAUUUGUUAGUCAGGGGUGAAAUCCCGGGGCUCAACCUCGGAACUGCCUUUGAUACUGCAAGUCUCGAGUCCGGAAGAGGUGAGUGGAAUUCCUAGUGUAGAGGUGAAAUUCGUAGAUAUUAGGAAGAACACCAGUGGCGAAGGCGGCUCACUGGUCCGGUACUGACGCUGAGGUGCGAAAGCGUGGGGAGCAAACAGGAUUAGAUACCCCGGUAGUC
rnacentral:rRNA from 1 species